GAUGAACGCUGGCGGCGUGCUUAACACAUGCAAGUCGAACGGAAAGGCCCUGAUUUCGUGGUGUGCCCGGGUGGCGAACGGGUGAGUAACACGUGAGUAACCUGCUCUUGACUUUGGGAUAAGUUCAGGUAACGGGGGCUAAUACCGGAUAGGAGCCCCCGCUGCAUGGUGGGGGUUGGAUAGUUUCGGCGGGUGGGGCUGGACUCGCGGGUUAUCGGCUUGUUGGUGGGGUAGUGGCUUACCAAGGCUUUGACCGAUAGGCGGCCUGUGAAGGAGACCGGGCACAAGGGGACUGAGCUACGGCCCAGACUCGUACGGGGGGCAGCGGUGGGGAGUAUGGCACAGUCGGAGGAAGCCUGAUGCAGAGACGCCGGGUGCGGGAUGACGGCCUUCGGGGUGUAAACCGCUUUAGCCUAUGACGAAGCGUGAGUGACGGUAAUGGAUGAAGAAGCACCGGCUAACUACGUG
rnacentral:rRNA from 1 species